AUCCAAAAAUAAUUACUCAAUCAAAUUGAGUUAAUUAGUGAUCAAAUUACUAAUUAAACCUCUCAUAAAUGUUGAGUCCAAAUCCAAUGGGCAAUCGGGCAUCAGAAUUCAUUGAUAUGUAACCCUGAUCGAAAAGUCCCAACCAGUGGGACUCUUGACCCCGGUACCUAUAAUGUGUGAAACUCGUGAUCAGAGAAUCCUGAUUCUCGAUCACUGAGUCCCAAACAUGUAGGAUUCUAUAUCAGCCAUCAGAUCAGAUAGGAACCUCUAAUGUGUGUGACCCCACAGGUUCGAACCUAAGCCGUUAGCACAGGAACCAAUUCCUGUACUAAUCGAAGUGACCAUCUAGCAAUGGUACCCGAUGUCCGGAUA
rnacentral:lncRNA from 1 species